rnacentral:rRNA from 1 species
ACGAACGCCGGCGGCGUGCCUAAUACAUGCAAGUAGAACGCUGAAGGAGGAGCUUGCUUCUCCGGAUGAGUUGCGAACGGGUGAGUAACGCGUAGGUAACCUGCCUGGUAGCGGGGGAUAACUAUUGGAAACGAUAGCUAAUACCGCAUAAGAGUAGAUGUCGCAUGACAUUUGCUUAAAAGGUGCAACUGCACCACUACCAGAUGGACCUGCGUUGUAUUAGCUAGUUGGUGAGGUAACGGCUCACCAAGGCAACGAUACAUAGCCGACCUGAGAGGGUGAUCGGCCACACUGGGACUGAGACACGGCCCAGACUCCUACGGGAGGCAGCAGUAGGGAAUCUUCGGCAAUGGACGGAAGUCUGACCGAGCAACGCCGCGUGAGUGAAGAAGGUUUUCGGAUCGUAAAGCUCUGUUGUAAGAGAAGAACGAGUGUGAGAGUGGAAAGUUCACACUGUGACGGUAUCUUACCAGAAAGGGACGGCUAACUACGUG